CCUAAACAAGGUAUUUAGAAUUGCACCUUUUAUUUCCCUAAAUAACAUUGCAAAGUUAAAAAAUCGUGAGGCCAAUAUUCUUGGGCCUUUAACAAGUCCAGAAAAUACAACAAGAUAAAGGUGAGAGCCUCUUACAACUAUAAUAAAAAUGAGGUGGCAUGUCACAUGUUUUAGUUUCAAACAAAUAAAUAAUGACUUAU
rnacentral:lncRNA from 1 species